GACGAACGCUGGCGGCGUGCUUAACACAUGCAAGUCGAACGCUGAAGCUCAGCUUGCUGGGUGGAUGAGUGGCGAACGGGUGAGUAACACGUGAGUAACCUGCCCUCUUCUUUGGAAUAACGCCCGGAAACGGGUGCUAAUACUGGAUAUUCACUGAUUCUCGCAUGGGGGUUGGUGGAAAGGUUUUUUCUGGUGGGGGAUGGGCUCGCGGCCUAUCAGCUUGUUGGUGGGGUGAUGGCCUACCAAGGCUUUGACGGGUAGCCGGCCUGAGAGGGUGACCGGUCACAUUGGGACUGAGAUACGGCCCAGACUCCUACGGGAGGCAGCAGUGGGGAAUAUUGCACAAUGGGCGAAAGCCUGAUGCAGCGACGCCGCGUGAGGGAUGGAGGCCUUCGGGUUGUAAACCUCUUUCGCUCAUGGUCAAGCCGCAGCUUUGGGUUGUGGUGAGGGUAGUGGGUAAAGAAGCGCCGGCUAACUACGUG
rnacentral:rRNA from 1 species